AGGACGACGAACUACUAUAAAUAGUAGCUAUCUGUGGUCAGAGCUUCAGAGGUACUUCAUACUCAUCGUCUCAGCUGAGCUGUAUACCAACUGCACAGGUUCAGAUUUUGUCAGUCAACUUUAUUAACUUACUCACUCUGCCUAUCGUUCACGUGCGCUCAUCAAAACGCGAUAUUAACCAAGUCGAGCAAUCCCGAUCACUACAGAGCAAGAUGAAUAAAUGCCUAUUGAUUCUGGUAGUGGUGGCGUGUCUUUUGGGAAUGAUCGAAUUGGCGUACGGAGAUUGUCCAGGAAAUUGCUGGUACUACAGGUCGGAGGCAACCAAACAUUGUUCUUCUCCAACAGCGACCAAUGAGUGCAGCGGUUAUGACCUUUUUGGCCUAUGUCGAUGUUGGUGUUGUUAGACUUGUCUUGCUCGAUUGAUUCAUAAGUAUGCCAACAAUUUUAUAAUGUACAGAUGUGAGUAAUUUAUUUUAUCCGAAUUCGGUGAUAAUUAUAGUUAAUACUUUGCUCAUGUUUGUUUUAC